UUUUUUUUUUUUUAAGUUUUAUUUAUUUAUUAUAUAUAAGUACACUGUAGCUGUCUUCAGACACUCCAGAAGAGGGAGUCAGAUCUCGUUACGGAUGUAGUUGCUUGCUGGGAUUUGAACUCUGGACCUUUGGAAGAGCAGUCGGUGCUCUUAAGGGCUGAGCCAUCUCUCUAGCCCUUUCCCUUUUCUUUUUUCACUGUAAUUAAAAAAGUUUUCUUUAAGAUAGGAUCUUUAUGUAGUUCUGGCUGUCCUGAAGCUCACUAUGUAGAUCAGGCUGGCCUUGAACUCAAAGACAUCCUCCUGCCUCUACCUCCCUAGUGCUAAGAUUAAAGCUUGCACAAUCUUGUCCCCCUUUGUUUUGGUCAGUUCUUGCUCGCUCUCAUCAUUUGUUUAUUUGAGCUGUCUUACUAUCUAUUCCCUUGGCUUUCUAAAUAUGUAGACCAUGGUUGUAUCUAACUCCUAGAGAUAGAUACAACCUGCCUUUGCUUUUCCCUUCCUCUUUUUUUUGUUUUGUUUUUUGAGACAGGGUUUCUCUGUAUAGCUCUGGCUGUCCUGGAACUCACUUUGUAGACCAGGCUGGCCUCGAACUCAGAAAUCUGCCUGCCUCUGCGUCCCGAGUGCUGGGAUUAAAGGCAUGUGCCACCACGCUUGGUGUUAAAACAUUUUUUAAUCUUAUGUGUAUGGUGGGUUUUUUUCUUUUCCUGAAUGUGUGUCUGAGCAUCAUGUACAUAUGGUACAUGAGGAGGGCAUUGGAUCCCCUGGGACUGGAAUGUAGAUGUUUUUGAGCCUCCAUAUUUCUACUGGGUCCUCUAAAAGAGCAGCCAUUAUGAUUAAUUGCCAAGCCAACUUUUCAGUCACCUUCAGCUCAUUUUUUUUAAAAAAACUACAUUUGGUCUUACAAAUCAAGUCUUUGGAGCUGUGGCUUUGCUUUUGCUCAAAGGGAAGACUUGACACUCCAAUUACCUUUUGUUUUUACCAUAGUUUCAUGCAGAUACUUGGUAGGUUCUGUUGAUGGUUUACCUUCUCUCCUUUUAAAAAAUUUAGCUCCUAGCUAGGUGUAGUGAAUGGAGUGGUGUAGCAGGUGGAUUUCGGGUCAGCUAAAGCUGCAUGGUGGGACCCUGUCUGGAAAAAAGAAAAAGAAAAAAGCAAAACAAUUCGAGGCCAGCCUGGUCUACAGAGUGAGUUCCAGGGCUAUACAGAGGAACCCUGUCUCAGGAAACCG
rnacentral:lncRNA from 1 species